GUAGUCAAGGGCUUAUCUCAAGAGAUUUUUGGGUGUGGCUUUUGUCUUGUAGAGUAGAUUCCAAAAAGAUUCACAGGAGAACAACAACAUUUUAAAAAGAAUUAUAUCACCAGGUACAGUGGCUCAUGCCUAUAAUUCCAGCACUUUGGGAGGCCGAGGCAGGAGGAUUGCUUGAACCCAGGAAUUCAAGACCAGCCUGGGCAACCCAGUGUCCCCUCUCCCUCCCCACCCUCUUCCCCUCCUUACCUUUCUUUGUCAUCACUCUCUCUGGGGGAAUCCAGCUGCCAUGUAAGAACACUCAGGCAACCCUGUGGAAAGCCCAUGUGGUAAGGAAAUGAGGCCUCCUGCCAACAGCCCUGGGAGGGAGCCAUCUUGGAAGCAGAUCCUUAGCCCCAGUUGAAGCCUUCAGGAUGCAGCAGCCCCAGCUGUCAGCCUGACUACACCUCAUGAGAAAACCUGAGCCAGAAACACUCAACCAGGCUGCUCAAAGAAUUUUGACCUCAGAAACUGUGAGAAAAUGAUUUUGUCAUGUUAAGCUGAUUGCAUGGGCGUAAUUUGUUGUUAUGUUGUAAAAGAUGAUACACCAACUUAAGGAAUCUGAUAUUUCUCACAGGAGCAAUGGGGUGCAGUGGAAGGCGUUAGAGAAAGGAAAUGACAUAAAAAGUUCUGGGAUUAGUGCUAUGGUCUGAAUGUUUAUGUCCCCCCACAAAAUUCAUAUGCUGAAAUCCUAAUCCCCAGGUGAUGGUAUUAGGAGGUGGGGCCUUUGGGGGAUGAUUAAGUCAUGAGGACUCUACUCUUAUGAAUGGGAUUAGUGCCCUUGUAAAAGGGGCCUGAGGAAAAAAACAAACAACUCCAUUAAAAAAUGGGCAAAGGAUAUGAACAGAUACUUCUUAAAAGAAGACAUACAUGUGGCCAACAAGCAUAUGAAAAAAUGUUCCACAUCACUGAUCAUUAGAGAAAUGGAAAUCAAAACCAUAGUGCAAUACCAUCUCACACUGGGCAGAAUGGCUAUUAUUAAAAAGUCAA
rnacentral:lncRNA from 1 species